rnacentral:rRNA from 1 species
UACAGAGGGGGCAAGCGUUGUUCGGAAUUACUGGGCGUAAAGGGCGCGUAGGCGGCCUUCUAAGUCGAACGUGAAAUCCCCGGGCUCAACCCGGGAACUGCGUCCGAUACUGGGAGGCUUGAAUCCGGGAGAGGGAUGUGGAAUUCCAGGUGUAGCGGUGAAAUGCGUAGAUAUCUGGAGGAAUACCGGUGGCGAAGGCGGCAUCCUGGACCGGUAUUGACGCUGAGGCGCGAAAGCUAGGGGAGCAAACGGG